rnacentral:tRNA from 1 species
UGGGUUGUGGCUCAGGGGCAGAGCACUCGCCCAGCACGUGCGAAGCCCUGGGUUCGAUUCUCAGCACCAUAU